UACGAAGGGGGCUAGCGUUGCUCGGAAUGGCUGGGCGUAAAGGGCGCGUAGGCGGCUUGCACCGUCAGAUGUGAAAUUCCUGGGCUUAACCUGGGGGCUGCAUUUGAUACGUGUGGGCUUGAGUGCGGAAGAGGGUCGUGGAAUUCCCAGUGUAGAGGUGAAAUUCGUAGAUAUUGGGAAGAACACCGGUGGCGAAGGCGGCUAACUGGCCCAUUACUGACGCUGAGGCUCGAAAGCGUGGGGAGCAAACAGG
rnacentral:rRNA from 1 species